rnacentral:lncRNA from 1 species
UAUUUUGACCUCUUUAUAUAUAAUUUAAUAAUCAAAAAAUUAUAAAAUUACAGUUUUAAUUUUUUACUUUAUUAUAGCAACCAAAUAAUAGAACUGAAAAGCCACUUUUAUAAAAGUGACUUUUUCCACUUUACCGACUUACGAGCAACCAAACAUGCCCUAAUUUGAAGUGCAAUUUACUCUAAACGAUUAAAACUUUAGCAAUAUUACUGGUACACUAUAGAAUGAAGUGUAAAUCUUAUAUUCUCUUUAUCUGAGUACCGCUAUUCUUUAUUAGUCACAUCAACUUUUUUGCACUAAAAUUUAUUUGAGUUUUUGUAUAUUAUAGGAUGAGAGGUGUAAGAUCUACACUUCCUUUCAUGGUGCACACAUAGAAUUUUUCUUAAACAUUAGUGUUUACGUAUCCAGAUGUUGAUUAUGAAAUCAAGACUUAAAUCUAAGACUUGUACGUCCAUCUGUAUAAAAUGUAACUACAUGUAAACUUAAAUACAGUAUUUGAUUUGAUAUAUUUGAAUCCAGCUGCUGCAAUCGGCAACACCCAAAUCACCCGUAAUUCCAACUGCGACAGUCGGA